GUGUUUAUGUUGGCAACACGUAUAAAAAUUGGAACGAUACAGAGAAGAUUAGCAUAGCCCCUGCACAAGGAUAACAUGCAAAUUCAUGAAGCAUUCCAUAUUUAA
ensembl:snRNA U6 U6 spliceosomal RNA